rnacentral:rRNA from 1 species
CGGUAAUUCCAGCUCCAAUAGCGUAUACUAAAGUUGUUGCAGUUAAAAAGCUCGUAGUUGGAUUUCUGCGGGGACGGAGCGGCCGGUCGCAACUUGCGACUCGAGCUAGCGCUUUCCCCGCAUCCUGCCGCGAACCGUGCUACCAUUAGCUUGGUGGCGCUGGGGAUCGGCUCGAUUACUUUGAGAAAAAUAGAGUGUUCAAAGCAGGCCACACGCCUUGAAUAAGUUAGCAUGGAAUAAUGACUAAGGACUUUGGUUCUUUUCGUUGGUGUUCGGGACUGAAGUAAUGAUUGAUAGGGACAGUUGGGGCGGUCCGUAUUCCAAAGCGAGAGGUGAAAUUCUUAGACCUUCGGAAGACGAACAGCUGCGAAAGCGUUCCGCAAGGAUGUUCCCUUUGAUCAAGAACGAAAGUUGGGGGAUCGAAGACGAUCAGAUACCGUCGUAGUCUCAACUAUAAACUAUACCAGCUAGGGAUCGGCCAACGUUUAAUUUAUCGACUUGGUCGGCACCUUAUGAGAAAUCAAAGCAUCUGGGUUCCGGGGGGAGUAUGGUCGCAAGGCUGAAACUUAAAGGAAUUGACGGAAGGGCACCACCAGCCGUGGAGCCUGUGGCUUAAUUUGACUCAACACGGGAAAGCUUACCAGGUCCGGACAUAGUAAGGAUUGUCAGAUUGAUAGCUCUUUCUUGAUUCUGUGGGUGGUGGUGCAUGGCCGUUUUUAGUCGGUGGAUGUGAUCUGUCUGCUUAAUUGCGUUAACGGACGAGACCCCAGCCUGCUAAAUAGCGCGGCCGAGCUUUGCUCGGUGCGAGCUUCUUAGAGGGACCAUGAUGCGCGAUAGCACAAGGAAGUUUGGGGCAACAACAGGUCUGUGAUGCCCUUAGAUGUUCUGGGCCGCACACGGGCUACACUGGCGCCUGCAACGAGCAUAUCAGCUGGCCCGAGAGGGUCUUGGCUAAUCUUUGGAACCGGCGCCGUGCUUGGGAUUGACCAUUGCAAUUGUUGGUCAUGCAACGAGGAAUGCCUUGUAAACGCGAGUCAUCAGCUCGCAUUGAAUACGUCCCUGCCCUUUGUACACACCGCCCGUCGCUCCUACCGAUGAAUGUUCCGAUGAAAUUUUCGGAGAGCACCAGAGAACGGGGCUCCGCCUUGCAGAUCUGGAGGCUCAAAGUCACUUAAAUCUGAACAUUUCGAGGAAGGAGAAGUCGUAACAAGGUAGCCG